rnacentral:tRNA from 1 species
UGGAUCACCUCCUAACAGGGAGACAACAAAAUGUUUAAUAUUAUUAUUUUGUCACCUUAGGUCGAUCGGUAUCUCGCAUUUUUAAUUUAUUAAGAAUUUCAUUUCCUAAGUUUUUCUAGGUCACACCCAUUAUUUUUCCUGGGCCAUUAGCUCAGGUGGUUAGAGCGCACCCCUGAUAAGGGUGAGGUCCCUGGUUCAAGUCCAGGAUGGCCCAUAUCUCUAUGUUGGGGGUAUAGCUCAGUUGGUAGAGCGCCUGCUUUGCAAGCAGGAUGUCAGCGGUUCGAGUCCGCUUACCUCCACUGAUCACCACCUCUUCCAUAAUCGGUAGAAAGGAAAUUUUUUGAGUUGUGAUCAAAUUCUGAAAGAAUCUAGCUUCCUAAUGAAAUCAUUAAGAUGCUGGACUCAUUGAAUUAAUUUCAUUGUUUUCAGAGAACCUUGACAACUGCAUAGAUUAUUUUUAAAGACAAUAAGCAUCUUUAAUGAUGCAGAUUUAUUAUUUGUGCAAAUGCAUUAAUAACAAUUCUAUUAAGCUGAUGCUUCAAUAUUUGAAGUUAUUGGUCAAGCUACAAAGGGCUCACGGAGGAUACCUAGGCACACAGAGGCGAUGAAGG